CCCUUAACCUCCAUGACAGUUCGCAGUUCAGCUGAAGUCCUCUUUGAUUGACCCUGAUCUGUUUCAUCUGCAUCGCACAAAAAUUCAUAAUAUGGAGGACAUACCGAACUAAAUGCAACUCGUUGUCCUAAAGUGGGUGUUCCAAUAAGCGGCGUGAUGACGGGAAUGCUAGUGUUAAUGGCAAAGGCCCCCCUUGGAUAAUGCAUCACAGAUCCUAUAGGAGAACAUUGGCUUUGUAAGAUCGAAAAUUCUUCCUGUAGCUACUGAUUAAUGAAGACGUAUGUAUCGCGAUCCGGACGCGUGUGUUCAUGGUAGAAACCAGCGGUGUGCAUAAGCUCGUGCAUGGCGGUUCCUGGUCUCGUUGUCAAUAUACAUCCAUCAUCCAGGCUUACAUCCUGAACGCCUUCGUUGAGCAUGCCUACAUAGCUCCAGCAACUAAGUAUACAGAAAUUUGUUACCUGGUCACUGUUUACGUUCUUCAUCAUAAUGGGCGUCGCCGUAACCAAUGCAAACCCGAGGCAUGCUCCGAAAAAGACCAAACGCGUUUUGAAAAUGAUCUAACUCUUACUCACCUUAACUUCAGCAGCGCCAUGUGGUGAUAAUCGGCUUUUUGUUUGCGCAUUUAUAGCUCCACAACACAGUUUAGCGAACCCGGAUUCUGUAG